CCCAGACUCCUACGGGAGGCAGCAGUAGGGAAUCUUUCACAAUGGGGGAAACCCUGAUGCAGCGACGCCGCGUGAGUGAAGAAGUAUUUCGGUAUGUAAAGCUCUAUCAGCAGGGAAGAAGAUGACAGUACCUGAGUAGGAAGCCCCGGCUAACUACGUGCCAGCAGCCGCGGUAAUACGUAGGGGGCAAGCGUUAUCCGGAUUUACUGGGUGUAAAGGGAGCGUAGACGGUUAUGUAAGUCUGGAGUGAAGGCCCGGGGCCCAACCCCGGGACUGCUUUGGAAACUGUGUAACUAGAGUACAGGAGGGGCAGGCGGAAUUCCUGGUGUAGCGGUGAAAUGCGUAGAUAUCAGGAGGAACACCGGCGGCGAAGGCGGCCUGCUGGACUGAAACUGACGUUGAGGCUCGAAAGCGUGGGGAGCAAACAGGAUUAGAUACCCGAGUA
rnacentral:rRNA from 1 species